AUUGAACGCUGGCGGCAGGCCUAACACAUGCAAGUCGAGCGGAUGAAGGGAGCUUGCUCCUGGAUGCAGCGGCGGACGGGUGAGUAAUGCCUAGGAAUCUGCCUGGUAUUGGGGGAUAACGUCCGGAAACGGGCGCUAAUACCGCAUACGUCCUGAUGGAGAAAGUGGGGGAUCUUCGGACCUCACGCUAUUAGAUGAGCCUAGGUCGGAUUAGCUAGUUGGUGGGGUAAAGGCCUACCAAGGCGACGAUCCGUAACUGGUCUGAGAGGAUGAUCAGUCACACUGGAACUGAGACACGGUCCAGACUCCUACGGGAGGCAGCAGUGGGGAAUAUUGGACAAUGGGCGAAAGCCUGAUCCAGCCAUGCCGCGUGUGUGAAGAAGGUCUUCGGAUUGUAAAGCACUUUAAGUUGGGAGGAAGGGCAGUAAGUUAAUACCUUGCUGUUUUGACGGUACCAACAGAAUAAGCACCGGCUAACUUCGUG
rnacentral:rRNA from 1 species